rnacentral:rRNA from 1 species
GAGUUUGAUCGUGGCUCAGAUUGAACGCUGGCGGCAUGCCUUACACAUGCAAGUCGAACGGCAGCAUGAUCUAGCUUGCUAGAUUGAUGGCGAGUGGCGAACGGGUGAGUAAUACAUCGGAACGUGCCCUGUAGUGGGGGAUAACUAGUCGAAAGAUUAGCUAAUACCGCAUACGACCUGAGGGUGAAAGUGGGGGACCGCAAGGCCUCAUGCUAUAGGAGCGGCCGAUGUCUGAUUAGCUAGUUGGUGGGUAAAGGCCCACCAAGGCGACGAUCAGUAGCUGGUCUGAGAGGACGAUCAGCCACACUGGGACUGAGACACGGCCCAGACUCCUACGGGAGGCAGCAGUGGGGAAUUUGGACAAUGGGCGAAAGCCUAAUCCAGCAAUGCCGCGUGUGUGAAGAAGGCCUCGGUUGUAAG